ensembl:lncRNA
AUGUGGUAUAUCUACUGUCCCUCUGUGGUAUACCUGCUGUCACUCUGUGAUAUAUUUACUGUCCCUAUGUGGUAUAUCUUCUGUCCCUCUGUGGUAUAUCUACUGUUCCCUCUGUUGUAUAGUGGUAUAUUUUCUGUCCCUAUUGUGGUUAUUAUCUGCUGUCCCUCUGUGGUAUAUCUGCCUGUCCCUCUGUGGUAUAUUUUGUAUAUCUACUGUCCCUCUGUGGUAUAUCUGCUGCCCCUCUGUGGUAUAUCUACUGUCCCUCUGUGCUAUAUCUGCUGUCCCUCCGUGGUAUAUCUGCUGUCCCUCUGUGGUAUAUCUGCUGUCCUUCUGUGAUAUAUCUGCUGUCCCUCUGUGGUAUAGUUUCUGUCCCUCUGUGGUAUAUCUGCUGUCCUUCUGUGGUAUAUCUGCUGUCCUCUGUGGCAUAUCUGCUGUCCAUCUGUGAUAUAUCUGCUGUCCCUCUGUGGUAUAUUGUAUGUCCCUCUGUGGUAUAUCUGCUGUCCCUCUGUGGUAUAUCUGCUGUCCUUCUGUGGUAUAUAUUUACUGUCUCUCUGUGGUAUAUCUGCUGUCCCUCUGUGAGGCGUGGCUCUGUUGCCUUUAUCGGGGGGAUGUGAUGUGAUCUUAUUCCUCCCAGCAGUGGAUUGGCUCUGCAACAUGAAUACCCAUUAGUGCUGGGCUAUGGAGAUGGAUGAGAGGAGGGAGAGUGAGGGGGAAGCGGGCAUCGCAAUCCCUCACCACACGUCCAAAACACAUGACACUCCUCUGUCCUCUCCUCACCGGAGAAAUUAUGAUGAGAUUUCAUUUUUGGAGGCAGGCCUUGAAUAUCGCUGUUAUUAUCCAGGAGAGAACUGGAACUCAAUGGGAUUGCAUCCCACAUUACAACCUGUUCCCAAUUUAAUGCACUACUUUUGAACAGGGCUCAUAUGGCUCUGGUAAAAAAAAGGAGUGCAAUAUAUAUGGAUUAAGGUGCCAUUUGGGACGCAGGCUGGAACUCACAGGACAUUCUUUCUCUCUGUAAGAGAUGAGGAGGCUGGGGCUCGGCUAGAUUAAAACCUUAACUUCAUUGACAGUUUCAACUGCUGAACUCUGCCAUGACAUGCAGCUUUAAACUGCUUUGAGAUCGCUGCCUUCCACCAAGUGUCAUUAUCUUUCAGUUUGUGGAUGGCACCCCCUCUCUCUCUUCUCUCUCUCCUUCUGAAUAAUUCUGUUUGUGCUAGGUUUGGGGGAAAUGUCUGUGACACUAUUGUUUUUUACCUUGCUGUUUGAUGUAGUCGAACGAGUCUCUUGAGGUGCCUAGUUCUGAAAACUGAAGUUGAAAGUAUACAAGGUAUAACUUCAAGUGGAAAGAUGACACCAUCAAGUUGUGUGUCAAGAUUAUUUGGGAUUUCAUUUAAAAGAUAUUUGUAAAAAUAAUUCUCACUUCUAAUAAAAUAAAAGUAAAUGUUUUUCCUUUAUGAUAUUUCCUUUUAAGACGUGUUUAAGUCAAGUGGAAGAUGUGCUGAAUUUGUUUUGACUAAAACACAAUAAACAACAAUAAACAGUUUAGAGAACAAAUUAAAUGUUUCAUUCCAGAUACUGUUAUGACUGUUAUGAGCAGUGUUGGAACACCCAUCCUCCUAAAUCUUUAUCUUCCGUGACCAUUACAGACAAGCCCAUGUGAUUUACCAUGACAAUGACUAUUGGACACACUCAGUUAGUCUUAUACAAGCCCAACACCGGGAACGGUGAAACGAUACCCGGGCAUCUACUGAGAAACUGUCAGUGAGAUAGACAGACAAGGACAUGAAUUCAUGUCAACCCAGGCCCAAUCCACUCUGCAGUAACAUCCCUGUGGUUCCUCUGAACCUGGCCCAGUUCCUGAUAUUACUGGUCAGCCUCAGUCUCAGUGAUAUUGAAUAGACAGAAUAUAUAUCUAAUGGAUAGGCCACAUUGCUGUUAGAAACCGUCUCUCAAAGCUGAUUGCUAACGCAAGUCAAACUAUUAUUCAUGUUCCUCCGUGAUUUGUGACCGUGCCCAGAGGACAUUUGAGAUGUGGUCUAGUGUUUCCCAGUACUACUUCUAGUCCCUGCCAGAAGUUAGCUAGCGCAGGUCUGCAGCGGUUUUCUCUCCCCGGUUUGGCAACAGGGGAGUCCAUCAGGGUAAUGAAUGACGGUGGACGCUAGCCAGAUAUUUAUACGGCAGGAUCGAUGGGUCCUCCAGUUUCUCCUUUGUGAAGGGGAUGGCAUAGUGUGUAGUGUGAGCCGGUGUAAUGUUCUUUCUACCCUUCACAAAGAGGAUGAAGAGCUUCUAAUGUUUUGGUAGUUGCUAGGUUACUUGUCACUUGUCACGCUGAAAGGACAGAGGAUUCAGUGAACUCAAAGCCAUCCUAAAACUAGGUCAUAGGAAAAUAAUCUUUAUGUAGAGAAGUUCAUCAAAUAAAACAGCUAUGAUGAGUAUGUGAGUUAGAAAUGAUCAAAUAGAAUUUAAUUUUGUGUUGCCUGAUUUGUCUUAAUGAACUGUGAAUUCAUUCAGAGUUAACAUGUUCUAUAUUAAUUGAGUACUACUUCUCAAUCACACUCACUAAACACUCAGCCACAGCAUCUUUAGUUUAGCAACACACACACAUCUUUAGUUUAGGACACCCAUACACACACAAACACACUAGCACGCACGCACGCACGAACGAACACACACACACAACCACCAUUCCCAGCUCAGUCUCAGUGUUCCAGAGCUAAUGUGGUGGAAGGAGCUCAACUCAUCUGUCAAUUACCAUUGGACCGUUGUCAUUGGGACGUUGUCUAAACUGCUUUUCUCUCUGGCUGGUGAAUCCAGUGAUUUAUUGUUAACUGGCCAUGGCUUCAAUAUACAAUCAGCAAAUACUAAGCUGUGAUGUCUGAACACAAACUAUGGUGGGAGUAUCAGCAUAGCUCACAUUAACUGCUGUGUGGAUUAUUCAUUGCAUCAGGGGCGAUGUGAAAUCCUCGUUGGGACCCGUUGCCUUGGAAAGAGAGGUGGUCCAUCAUCUCCUGGAUGGAUGGAUGCAAGGGGAGCUAAAAAUGCCUAAUAUCUUAGCCUGUAUUUGUGCUUGGCUCUCCUACUUAACAAAUCAGAGGUGUGUCUUAUUUGAAUAGCCAAUCACAAUGUCAAUGUCUAUAGAGGUUGUGUGGUCAAAUGAAGUGCUUGAGGUAUUAUUAAUGUCUUGGAUUAGAAUAGGUAGCUUGAGUUAAAGGAGGAAUUAGCAGGUCUUUCAUAAUAACCAAUGUCAACAUUCCUGCUUCACCAGAACGAAGAGAGAGCAAAGUCAGUCCAAUGGUACAGCAUCCAAAACAACCUUUUAAUCUGUCACAACGACUCGCUGACUAAUUGGCAUUAAACAAAAGGAACAGGUUUCCCCAUCACUUUAAUACGAGCAGACAAGUUAUUUUACUGUCAUAAUUUGAUCGGUAGAUCGUUUCUGACAUGUCAUGUGGCGGCGAGAUGAUUGGGUUGACGUCUGAGUCAUUUAGGUCAGAUGGUUGAAUUUAUUCCAGAUUGAUUUUUAACGAGUGCUUUUCACCUCUGCUAAGGAUGCAUUUCCUUUUCAAAAACCUUCUGACUGACCUCAAUGAUGUAUGAGCCAGUAGAAUAUACAUGAUACCUGCAUUUAAAGGGACACUUUGUCACUUUGUAACCACCAUAUUCAUGUGUCCACAUGUGAAAACAGCUGCAUUUGGUGGCUUGGAAAUCACAGUGCGGUGAGUCAAGCUACCAGCAAUCUUAAUCAGCAACUGCUAAAACAAAAAGUGAUAUAUACUGUAACUGAAAGUCAGGAAAAUAAUAAUGACUUUAGGGGUAUUACAGGGACUUAAGUAUGGAAUGAUAUGAGCACUUCUGAAGGCCUGGAUACAAUUCACAGGGGGUAGCCUCCUGAGAAAGAUCAAAAACCCUCUUUCCACUUGACACCAUUAAUCCAGUGCUAACUGGCAACCCUCAGGAGCCUGGUUCAGUUGUCUCUCCUCUAGCUACGUCCGAGGACUCCAGGGUGAACCCUGAUUCAGGGGUAAUCGGAUGGCGGUGGAAAAGUGAAAAUGGCAUGAAAUUAGAUUAAUUGGAGUGAACACGCAUGCAUGUCUCGCUGGGUGGUGGUCUUUUGUUUCCGCACUCUGACCCUGAGAUGUGGAUGGCUUCAGGAUAUGACUCUGGGCUGGGCUGGCCUGGCAUGUGUAUUUAAUGCUUUUUGACACUUGUAUCGACAGAAAGAAAAAUGAACACCACGUAUUUUUUCAUACAUAGACUUCCACCAGGUAUAAGUUAAAAACUAUUAUUUUGAGCUUUUCAGAGUACUAUCAGAAGACAUUCACAAUAUAAAAUGAUCUAUUAUGUGUUUUCAGAGAGCGCGAUGCGCUGCGUUGGUACUGGAGCGGGCAGGCAGUAGAUCUUAAUGGAGGCUCUGAGAGGAGGAUAUGAAGAUAACCUUGAGGAAAGAGAACAGAACCUCAAGGCCUUCCCUUACUGCCUGUCACUAUCACUAACCCACUGUGACAUCUUGGUCCAGAAUCUUGGCCCAGGAACUGCUCAAGUCACUGAUACACAAACAGCUGAUAUCCACUGAACUUUAAACAGUACUUUCAGGCAGCGCCCUAGCAUUUGUUUCUAUCCAGUUUUGUUUUUUUCUUUCUCAGAUAGAGCAGGUCAUCCAUUGUGUUAUGCUACAGUUAUUUUGUUGUUACUAUUAGCUGUUUUGGCUAAGCUGUCUCCAAGCGCCUACAGGAUACAAAUGAAGCGAUCUAAGGUAUCAGCGUUGUGAUGGGCACUCAAUAAUAUUUUACUUAAUUAAUUCCAAUGCCCUGAGCUGACAUCCAUCCCCUACAUACCACAGCUGGGGCUUGCUGGUCCAGCCAAGCACACAAUAUCCUGUGUGCUCUGAAACAUGUACCAUUACAAUUAGCGCUGUCAGGUCCUAGCCCUACAACCCUCAUGUAGAUAAUAUGAGAAGAUGUCUUAAGAACCACCUUACAUGCUCAAUAUUUCUCGCCUUAUGAAGAUUACACGUCAAUAAAGUCAUUGAGUCCCAGGGUGUGUGGCAAGUAAAGAUUGUGGUUAUUGGACUUAUUGGACAGGUGGGCAGUGAUGAACCAGGGUUAUAAUUCUAGCUGUCAGGGGAUGUGCAGGGGGCUGGGGACAGUAAGGGGAUGUGCAGGGGGCUGAGGACAGUAAGGUGAUGUCAGGGGUUGAGGACAGUAAGGUGAUGUCAGGGGCUGAGGACAGUAAGUGGAUGGCAUGGGUUGAGGACAUAGGUGAUUGAGGGUUCGGACAGAGGUGUCAG